rnacentral:rRNA from 1 species
GGUCCUAAGGUAGCGAAAUUCCUUGUCGGGUAAGUUCCGACCCGCACGAAAGGCGUAACGAUUUGGGCACUGUCUCAACGAGAGACUCGGUGAAAUCAUAGUACCUGUGAAGAUGCAGGUUACCCGCGACAGGACGGAAAGACCCCGUGGAGCUUUACUGUAGCCUGAUAUUGAAAUUCGGCACAGCUUGUACAGGAUAGGUAGGAGCCUUUGAAACGUGAGCGCUAGCUUACGUGGAGGCGCUGGUGGGAUACUACCCUAGCUGUGUUGGCUUUCUAACCCGCACCACUUAUCGUGGUGGGAGACAGUGUCAGGCGGGCAGUUUGACUGGGGCGGUCGCCUCCUAAAAGGUAACGGAGGCGCUCAAAGGUUCCCUCAGAAUGGUUGGAAAUCAUUCAUAGAGUGUAAAGGCAUAAGGGAGCUUGACUGCGAGACCUACAAGUCGAGCAGGGUCGAAAGACGGACUUAGUGAUCCGGUGGUUCCGCAUGGAAGGGCCAUCGCUCAACGGAUAAAAGCUACCCCGGGGAUAACAGGCUUAUCUCCCCCAAGAGUUCACAUCGACGGGGAGGUUUGGCACCUCGAUGUCGGCUCAUCGCAUCCUGGGGCUGUAGUCGGUCCCAAGGGUUGGGCUGUUCGCCCAUUAAAGCGGUACGCGAGCUGGGUUCAGAACGUCGUGAGACAGUUCGGUCCCUAUCCGUCGUGGGCGUAGGAAAUUUGAGAGGAGCUGUCCUUAGUACGAGAGGACCGGGAUGGACAUACCUCUGGUGUACCAGUUGUCGUGCCAACGGCAUAGCUGGGUAGCUAUGUGUGGACGGGAUAAGUGCUGAAAGCAUCUAAGCAUGAAGCCCCCCUCAAGAUGAGAUUUCCCAACUUCGGUUAUAAGAUCCCUCAAAGAUGAUGAGGUUAAUAGGUUCGAGGUGGAAGCAUGGUGACAUGUGGAGCUGACGAAUACUAAUCGAUCGAAGACUUAAUCAA